rnacentral:rRNA from 1 species
GGAAUAUUGCACAAUGGGCGCAAGCCUGAUGCAGCGACGCCGCGUGGGCGAAGAAGGUUUUCGGAUCGUAAAGCCCUUUUCUGUGUGACGAGUAAGGACGGUAGCACAGGAAUAAGUGUCGGCUAACUACGUGCCAGCAGCCGCGGUAAAACGUAGGACGCGAACGUUAUCCGGAGUUCAUGGGCGUAAAGCGCGUGCAGGCGGUUCGGUAAGUUACCUAUGAAAGCUCUCGGCUAAACUGAGAGAGGAUAGGUGAUACUGUCGGACUAGAGUGAGAAAGAGGGAAGUAGAAUUCCGGGUGUAGUGGUGAAAUGCGUAGAUAUCCGGAGGAAUACCAGUGGCGAAGGCGGCUUCCUGGUUCUCAACUGACGCUGAGACGCGAAAGCGUGGGUAGCG